AACAAUUAUAUACUCAGUUGCAGAGGAUCAUUUCCUGAGAAGCCUGGCGGGAGACACCAAACAACAGCAGCAUCCAGAAAACGCCGUGCCCACAGUACAAAGAAAAAAAAACUUUUGGCUUUCGGCCAUCCCCAAACCCUUAAAAAUGGGAAGCAACCACUUUUUAUCCCAAUACCCAAAAAACACCAAGAACACUCCUCUCUCUUAUCUCACGGUCUCUCAUCUGUUCAUUUUGUUCCUUUUUCCGGAAAAAAAAAAGCCUGUGUAAGAUUUCAUAUCUCCUUUUUGUUACUUGUUUAUCUUUUUCUUCUGGGUUUUCUUGCCUUUAUAGUUGUUCUUUGUGAGAAUAACAGAUCUAAAAGUUUCAUCCCACAGUCACCUCCUAUUUGGCCUUAAAUUUUCUGGGAUUUUUUUGUCAAAUUCUUUUUUUUUUUAUUUUUGUUAUAUAUCUGGGUCGGUUUUGCUUGCGGUAUUCUGCCGGUUGGUUUUGCUUGUGGAACUCUAGUAGCUGUUGUUUUUAUUUAUUUUUCUGUUUAAUUGUUGGAGUGCUUGUUACAAUUGCUUUGGAUUUCGUGGGGUGUGUAUAUUCUGGUGCCAUUUUCUUUCUUGGCUGGUGGGUUUUUAUUUGGAAGUUCUUAAAUUUGUCUUAUUUCUUGAAAUUUUCAUUUUUUUUUUCCUAAUCCUGGCAGAAAUUUACCAGUAUAAUGAUUAUGUUGUUAUAGUUUUCUUUGGGAUCAUUUGC
rnacentral:misc_RNA from 1 species